rnacentral:tRNA from 1 species
GCCAGCGUAGCUCAGUGGUAGAGCAACUGAUUCGUAAUCAGUUGGUCGGGAGUUCGACUCUCCCCGCUGGCUCCA